CAUUGUGUGUUUUGAUCAAUCAGAGCGCAGUAUUGUUCCAGUGACCCAGAUUGACAACAGCUUUUAGCUUUUUGCUUGCAUCGAGAUCGAUCAUAUUUCUGCAGUAUUUACAGUGUUUUGACAGUCUUUAGCUCACUUAGCAGCAUGGAUGAGGGAGGGGUGCUAGUUGAGAGAACCAACAAUCCAAGAAAAAGGAAGCGAAAUGAAAAAUAAUUGGCCAAAAACCAGAACAAGGAAGAUCAUAACAGCGCUUCUGGGAAGCAGCCAGCCAUUGGAUGCCAGCACAUACCUCACAGCUUUUGUAAGGCGUCUUUGCUGACAAAAGGAGACAUCACAGAAACUUUCCAGCACAUACCUCACAGCUUUUGUAAGGCGUCUUUGCUGACAGAAGGAGACAUCGCAGAUACUUUCCAGGACUGCUACAGAGACUUCAACGAGCCGCGGCAAGAUUCAUUCAUCAUUUGCCACUUCCAACUCAAUCCAGUCAUGCGCCGUCAAGGAAAUGGUCUCCAACCAAGGAGAGAGCGGAACUAUGCCCCAACAUUUCAAAUUACGACACAGCAAGGGGAAAAUGUGGAGGUAUGCUCCGGAAGAUUCAGAUCCAUCCUUGUACUUGGUAGGAAACGUCUGGGCAACCUAAUGAAGUACGCAUGCCAUUCAAAAUCACAGAGGCCAGACGCAUGUACGUGAGACCAUCUCCAGCCCCAGUCACUGUCGCCAAGCGCACCUGUAGAUGAGUACACCAUAUUGAAGAGAGGAAAGAGAUGGAGUACUCUUCGGGUCAAUCAGCUCCCAUUGCUGAGCUGUGUGAAGCCAGCGAAGCAGCGGGAUGUAGUAAAUCUUCUACGAGCGAUGGGGGUGGAGCUACAAGUGGAACCGCUAGUAGGGUAGGUUCCUUUUACAAAGAGGUGUGCGCGCCUUCUGAUGCAAUGGACGUCGAGAGUGAUGAGGAUGGCGAAGGCAUCAUUGCUGCCUAUGAAGAUUGACAUUUGAUUUCAUGCCUUAAAGUGAUCAAUUGACUGCAUAAUUUUGUUCCAAAGUGAUAUUUAUUUUAGACUUCUAUCAGAUA